GUGGGGAAUAUUGGACAAUGGGCGAAAGCCUGAUCCAGCCAUGCCGCGUGUGUGAAGAAGGUCUUCGGAUUGUAAAGCACUUUAAGUUGGGAGGAAGGGCAGUAAGUUAAUACCUUGCUGUUUUGACGUUACCGACAGAAUAAGCACCGGCUAACUUCGUGCCAGCAGCCGCGGUAAUACGAAGGGUGCAAGCGUUAAUCGGAAUUACUGGGCGUAAAGCGCGCGUAGGUGGUUUUGUAAGUUGGAGGUGAAAUCCCCGGGCUCAACCUGGGAACGGCCUCCAAAACUGCAUGACUAGAGUACGGUAGAGGGUAGUGGAAUUUCCUGUGUAGCGGUGAAAUGCGUAGAUAUAGGAAGGAACACCAGUGGCGAAGGCGACUACCUGGACUGAUACUGACACUGAGGUGCGAAAGCGUGGGGAGCAAACAGGAUUAGAAACCCCGGUAGUCC
rnacentral:rRNA from 1 species